rnacentral:rRNA from 1 species
UACGUAGGUGGCAAGCGUUGUCCGGAUUUAUUGGGUUUAAAGGGUGCGUAGGCGGCCUUAUAAGUCAGUGCUGAAAUAUCCCAGCUUAACUGGGAGGGUGGCAUUGAUACUGUAGGGCUUGAGUCGAGUUGAGGUUGGCGGAAUUGACGGUGUAGCGGUGAAAUGCUUAGAUAUCGUCAAGAACACCGAUAGUGAAGACAGCUAACUAAGCUCAAACUGACGCUGAGGCACGAAAGUGUGGGGAUCAAAC